UGAAAUUUGAUAUCAACAAGGAAGACAGUUUGAAUAAUAGAUUCAAAGAAAUCAGGGAUUUGAAGACUGAUGCUGUUUUCUCAAUUGAUGAUGAUGUUAUAUUUCCUUGCUCUUCAGUGGAAUUUGCUUUCAACGUUUGGCAGAGUGCCCCAGAUACAAUGGUGGGCUUUGUGGCCCGUGCCCAUUGGGUUGAUCGAUUGGAAGGUAAAAAAGAUUAUUACAUAUAUGGUGGAUGGUGGUCUGUUUGGUGGACUGGUACAUAUAGCAUGGUACUCUCUAAGGCUGCCUUUUUCCACAAAAAGUAUCUUAGUUUAUAUUCAAAUGAGAUGCCAGCAUCAAUCAGAGAGUACACAACCAAGAACAGGAACUGUGAAGAUAUUGCAAUGUCCUUUCUUGUUGCAAAUGCAACUGGAGCUCCACCUAUUUGGGUGAAAGGCAAGAUAUUUGAGAUUGGUUCAACUGGAAUUAGUAGCCUGGGAGGUCAUAGUGAAAGAAGAACAACAUGUGUUAACAGAUUUGUUGCGGAAUAUGGGCGAAUGCCCCUGGUAUAUACAUCUGUUAAGGCUGUUGAUAGCCGCCAUGCCUGGUUCUGGUGAUGCUGUGGAUUCUUCUAUAUUUUGAAUUGCUGAAUUUCCACUUCCCUUUGAGCAAUUCCAAUUUUUUUUAUUUGUAUUAUAGUUCAAUAUAUGCGUUAUUUAUGUCUUCUUUUGAGAUAGAAGCUAAUUUAACAUUCUACCUUAGAUUUAUUACUUGUAUACUCACCAUGUAACUAGAAGAUAGUGGCCACAAGUAGCAAUAUAAAUUACAUUUUGCCAUGUAAAAAAAAUUGGAAUUGCUCAAAGGGAAGUGGAAA
rnacentral:misc_RNA from 1 species